rnacentral:rRNA from 1 species
UACGAAGGGGGCUAGCGUUGCUCGGAAUCACUGGGCGUAAAGGGUGCGUAGGCGGGUCUUUAAGUCAGGGGUGAAAUCCUGGAGCUCAACUCCAGAACUGCCUUUGAUACUGAGGAUCUUGAGUCCGGGAGAGGUGAGUGGAACUGCGAGUGUAGAGGUGAAAUUCGUAGAUAUUCGGAAGAACACCAGUGGCGAAGGCGGCUCACUGGACCGGCAUUGACGCUGAGGUGCGAAAGCGUGGGGAGCAAACAGG